CUCUUCUUAUGUUUCCCCAUCUGAGAUCAGAGUAGAUGAGAGAUGUAAUGUUUGUCUCUGUUGUGUUGAAGUCCAAUCAAGCAGGAGAAACCAGCCUCCCCUGUUCCCAGCUGUGUGUCCAUGAAGAGUGACCAGUCUAUGGAUAAACCUAUGUCCUUUAGAGAGGGAGACUUUUCUACUGAACAAAGAAACCAACAGGAGAGAUCAGCGUCAGAGAUUCUCAGUGGUCAGUCUUCCCAGAGUCAUCAAACAGACCUGGACUCUAUAUUCAGUGUAUGUGGUCCUGUUAUGAACAUUUGUUUUUGUUUUCCUCAAGUAAAGUUGAUCUGCCAAUUAU
rnacentral:lncRNA from 1 species